AGCAGUUAUGCUACGGACCAUUUAAAAUUAAUUACGAUUUUCGAUUCAUUCAAUUAUAUUUCAUUAAAAAUACCCCUCUAGAAAAUUCUUUGGAGACGCCUAUUUAAUCGCCUAGGUGCCUAUUUUCGCAGCGAAGCAAGAGGAAAGCACCGCGCAUGUUUCUAUCGGAUCGAUACGAAUCGAUUUCCGAUAACAUUGAACAGCAGUUGGUCAGGAAACGGCUCGAAGGGCGGAUGGCGCGCCGCUAGUAAGGUUAUUCCCCCUUUUAAGUGACGGGAUUGAAACAAAUUUUCGAUGGAAAUCAAAUAAUUAGAAGGAAAUCAAGCGUUAGCUAAUCCCAUCUACAAAACUAGAUAACCAAAGUUAAACAUCUCUUUGGACUUCUUCACAUAACAGAAGUGGAUAUUCCGGCGUGCCUGCCUUGUUUCAAUCCCGUAACUUAGUUAUUUAGUCACACAACGUGACUCUAUCACGUUGAUUAUGUACUACCUAGUUAGAUUGCUAGCCACUCUGUGAUGGUUUAUCCCUAGAGUGGGCUGUUUUUGUUGGAUAAUACACCAUACCGGAUUUUAUUACAACCAGCAUCUUCACCCAGGACCUUGCAGUAGGACUUACUCACCACAGCAGCCAACCGUUUUAUCGUGCCAAAAGGGAAUUUCCUACGGAAUUCAUCUCUAUGGACUUGCAACCCUACUUUUAACCGGCUGUUGUGUAAAAGCUAAGUUUAUUUAUUUUUUCUGUAUUUACUUUUGGGUAAGAUAUAUUUGCUACAUUGUAAACUUUUCGUAUGCAUACGAUUAGGAAGAGUACAUAUAUUUUCGUGAUAGAUAGGGUUUUAGGUUGUUGUUUUUUUUUUCUUUUUGAUUCAGUAUAAGUAGGAGUUAAUUAAAAUAAAUAAAAUCAGGUCUUGUUUAAUAAUCAUAAAUAAUUGUAUCUUAAAAUUAGAUAGGGAAUCGGGUUGUAAAAUUUUGUCGUGGAGUUUAAAAUAGGGAAUACGUCUAGUAGGUUUUUUUUUGUAAAAUAUAUAAAGAGUCACUGACCAACUCAUUUAUAUAGACCUUUUUGCUAUUCCAACGGACUUUUGAUUUGGAUUUUGACUUUAAUACUUUUGCUUGGCCAGUGAUAGUGGAUAAUUGCUUGUUGAGUGGCCUUUGCAGUCCUAUUUUAUCUUUUCCCCAUCCACUAUCACUGUUAUUACGUUGCGUUAUAUGUAAAGUGUUAACAUUUAAUAUUUAUUAUUAAUAUAUUUGUAUGUAUUAAGGUUGGUGUUUUAUUUCAGUCUGUAUUACCAGUAUAUAACAUAGCAAGACAAGCUCAGUAUUUAGUAUUUUGUAUUUCAGGUAGUUGUAACCAGUGUCAUAGAGUUCAUGUUGUUCGUUACUUCAAAAUCUCGAACCUGUCCAACUUCUUGGUUCUGAGAGCCGAGUUGUUCGUUCGAGUUGGCGCCCUUUUUUCUUCUUCCUUCUUUGUUGUAACUCGAUAUUAUUUUAUCUCUAGCAUUCUUAUCUAUUUUCCUUCCAUUUUUGUAUUAAUAGUCUCAUUUUCUUCCUAGUUACUAUCAUUUCAUUACCAAAUUUUCUUCUUAUAUCUCUAAAGCCAAUAUUCGGUGUAUGGAAGCUAGCCCGAAUACUCAUACUUGAGAUUUAGUGUCUCUCUGCCCUUUUGAUUUUUUUUCCUUCUGAGCUAAGCCCCUCUUCUUUUGUCUUAAAUCUCUUAUCAUUUAUUUUACCCAUCUUUAUUCAGUUCUUCUCUUCAAAAAUCUCUAUACCCAGAGUAUAGAGGGUUCACUAUAAUACAUAAUAUAAUGGUACCAAUUUCAGUUUGAAACUAAGCUCAUUGGGGAACUACUUACAAUAUAUAAGAUGAACAUAAAUAAUAAGUAGGAAUUUUCAAUUAAAGACGAUUAAAAUGAACUGUUGUACUUAAUCGCUUUCUUUUGAAAACCCCUCGUGCUCGUGAGUAAUAAUACUUAUACGUUAUAAACACAUUAGUAAUUUCUAAAGAUUUAUAAAUUUGACUUUAAAGUAAAUCAACUGAUUGUAGAACUAUGCAAGAAUACAAAUAAUAGCUGGUAAUAUUCAUUUAAAUACGAUUAAAAUAUAAUACACCCGAAUACCUAAUCGUAGACGUAGAUGACUUUGGCCUCUGACGUCAGACCAAUAGAAGGACGUUCAAGAGCCUCCUAAGAUAUUUGAAUUUUAUAGCAUUUUCAAAGCGCCGUAAUUAGCGUACGGGUUAAAAAUAUAUGUUUUUUUCGCAUGCAAGCUUUUUAAGAUCAUGUUACCUUAUGUUUUUAAUAUUAUUUUAAUAUUUAAAAAUUUAUGCAAGUUCCCUAUUUUUAAAAUUUAAACCCAACAUUUGUAGCUUGUAUCCGAAAAAAAUUUAAAUUGUUGAUAUAAAACCAUAUAUACCUGGAUCCCGCGUACCAAAAAAAAAUUGAUUAAUAGCAAGCUGAAAAUGUGUUAAUAGCUUAACGGUGUCUAGUCAGACAAAUUUUGAUGUAUGGGAACACUGGAACAAAAGAAGUUUUAAUUGUGUAAAAGGUUAAAAAUUUGGAACGACAGACUACGUAAACGUUCCAUGUAUUUUGUCGGACAGACCUUCCAAUUAAUUUGUUACCAUUUCAUUAAACUCUCAUGCAAAAAUCAGACUGGUGUUUAUCACUAACUGGGCAUUUUAAUGAGUGGAACACGAAGAACAUGUCAAAUGACAGGAAUCAUGUUGGUUAGUAAUAGCAGUCUGAUUUUUGCAUGAGAGUUUAAUGAAAGGGUAACAAAUCAAUUUGAUGUUCUGACCGACAAAAUACAUGGGACGUUUUCGUAAUCUGACGUUCAAAAUUUGUAAACUGUUCCACAAUUAAAACUUCCCCUGUUCCAGUGUUCCCGUACAUCAAAGUUUGUCCGACUAGACACCGUUAAGCUAUUAACAAAUUUUCAGCUUGCUAUUAAUCAAUUUUUUUUAGUACGCGGGAUCCAGGUCUAAUAACCCUAUGGUUAGUUUUAAAUUUUAAAGAAAUACCAACGAAUAUAUGUACAGCAAUACUAACUUUUGUAUUGUGGUACAUAUUUUCGAGUGAACUAGCAGCUUGGUACCACAUGUUUUUUCGAACUGGCCCUAAGAUAAAUAAAUGCCUUUUUUAAUAAAAGAAAGUCAUAAAAAUUCCAAAUCAUUUUAUUUUGAGCUGUCCAUUGAAAAGCCAAAUGGUCUUAUUUUAUUGUAACCCUUAAGGACAUAGGCGUAACAUGUCGCUUAUCAAAAUGUUCAAUGUGUUUUAAAUAUAUUAAUUUUUUUCAAAUCCUGAGAAAACUAAUAAAAAUUUAAAAAAAAAUUUAAACGCAGCAGCAUGAAAGAUUACAUUAUUUCUGAGGGACGAACAUCCCUGAAAACUUCUAUAAUGUUUAUUUUAAUAAGUUACGGGAGUGAACAUAAAAAGGAUAAUUUAGUGUUAUUAUUAAUUGCAAAUAUUUCAUUCAAAAGAAACUUUUUGUUUAUUCUAAGAUACUUUCGGCCCUCGGUAAUAACGCAAUCUUUCAUUCUGCGUUUAAAUUUUUCAAAAAUAUUUAUUAGUUUUCUCAGGAUUCGAAAAAAAUAAAUAUCUACAUUUAAAAGUUUUAAAUUAAAACACAUUGAAAAUUUUGACUUUUAUGUGGCACUCAUUGUAUUAUUAAUUUUCUUAUCUUAAUUGGCAACUAACAUGUCUAUCUCGACAAAAAAGUAUAUGUACUAAAUAAACUAUUUUUUAAACUCUUUCAAACUAGUGUGACAAACAGUUUGAAUUUUCAAACCUGUACGAUUGACCAGUGUGACUUGACUUGAAAUAUUUGUCAGAAGGAUUGACUAGAGUUUGACUUGAUAUAAGUCAAACUCAAGUCAAGUUCAAACAUUCAAGUCAAACUUGUGCAAAUCUACUUGUGGCAUCACGUUAAAGUUAUAGUUAUAGUUAAAAACGGUCCAGUGUAUUAUUUCGAUAUUGGGUCAAUUAAAUCCAAGUGGUCCAAAGGUGGUUGCUUGACUAUUUUUAAUUUUUUUUUAAUUUUUCUAUACUCUUGUUGGUCUGUGUCCAGUCUGUGUCCAUUGAACUGGCAAGAACCACACGUUAUCAUCGAGCAUUGAAUCAUGUUUUCCUUUGAGCACUUUUAAAAUCAUCUUAUAACAUCGACUUAGAGUCGCUACUAACACCAGUUUUUCGAAAUGUAAAUCAUAUUUCUCGAUGUCACCUAUUUUACAAAGUUGCUAGUUUCAUCUAUUAAGCAGAACAUAAGUAAUAUCCACAUUUGUUCUUUAACUAGUCAUAAUUUUAACCUUUUGCAUUCAUUCUAAUGUGGAAGUACUUCGUUCUAGGCACUGCAGAUGAUCUGAUCUAGAUCGAAAACGUUUUGCGAAUCCUUUUGGAUGACUUUUUGAUAGUUUUCAAUAAACUUUUUAUACCAUUA